rnacentral:lncRNA from 1 species
GUUAUACUGAGGAAACACGAGGAUCUGUCAACUGUGGAAAUCCAAUCCGUUGCCUCUCAUGACUUGGGUGAAGCAAAGUAGCCUGUAUUCCCUGAGGAUUUGUUUAAAUUAGAGAGAAAGGGAAAGGGACAGUUACUCUGUGAUUGAAAUACAAAGACAGUCCUAAAAGCUGUCUGGUUUAAACCUCCAGUGUCUUAAAGGAACUGACUUUUAUGGGAAAGGCAGGAAAUCUUGGCCUAAGGAGGACAGGAACAGAAUCUGGAGGCUGAUAGCUUGGAAGCAGAAAUGGAAGAGGAUGAAAAUGACUUGGACCUGAAAUAUUUAAAAACAUCUAUAUCAGAGUUUUAACAGAAGCACAAAAAGGAUCUUGGAUUGAGAUGGUCUAUGGAAAUUUGGGUUAUCCAGCGC